rnacentral:rRNA from 1 species
UGGGGAAUUUUGGACAAUGGGCGAAAGCCUGAUCCAGCAAUGCCGCGUGUGUGAAGAAGGCCUUCGGGUUGUAAAGCGCUUUUGUCCGGAAAGAAAUCCUUGGCUCUAAUACAGUCGGGGAUGACGGUACCGGAAGAAUAAGCACCGGCUAACUACGUGCCAGCAGCCGCGGUAAUACGUAGGGUGCAAGCGUUAAUCGGAAUUACUGGGCGUAAAGCGUGCGCAGGCGGUUUGCUAAGACCGAUGUGAAAUCCCCGGGCUCAACCUGGGAACUGCAUUGGUGACUGGCAGGCUAGAGUAUGGCAGAGGGGGGUAGAAUUCCACGUGUAGCAGUGAAAUGCGUAGAGAUGUGGAGGAAUACCGAUGGCGAAGGCAGCCCCCUGGGCCAAUACUGACGCUCAUGCACGAAAGCGUGGGGAGCAAACAGGAUUAGAUACCCUGGUAGUCCACGCCCUAAAACGAUGUCAACUAGUUGUUGGGGAUUCAUUUCCUUAGUAACGUAGCUAACGCGUGAAGUUGACCGCCUGGGGAGUACGGUCGCAAGAUUAAAACUCAAAGGAAUUGACGGGGUCAUAGCUGUUUCCU